rnacentral:rRNA from 1 species
GACGAACGCUGGCGGCGUGCCUAAUACAUGCAAGUAGAACGCUGAAGGAGGAGCUUGCUCUUCUGGAUGAGUUGCGAACGGGUGAGUAACGCGUAUGUAACCUGCCUGGUAGCGGGGGAUAACUAUUGGAAACGAUAGCUAAUACCGCAUAACAGCAGAUGUUGCAUGACAUUUGCUUAAAAGGUGCAAUUGCACCACUACCAGAUGGACCUGCGUUGUAUUAGCUAGUUGGUGGGGUAACGGCUCACCAAGGCGACGAUACAUAGCCGACCUGAGAGGGUGAUCGGCCACACUGGGACUGGGACACGGCCCAGACUCCUACGGGAGGCAGCAGUAGGGGAUCUUCGGCAAUGGACGGAAGUCUGACCGAGCAACGCCGCGGGAGUGAAGGAGGGUUUCGGAUCGGAAAGCUCGGUUGUAAGGGAAGAAAGAGUGUGAGAGUGGAAAGUUCACACUGUGACGGUAUCUUACCAGAAAGGGACGGCUAACUACGUG